UACAGAGGGGGCAAGCGUUGUUCGGAAUUACUGGGCGUAAAGGGCGCGUAGGCGGCCUGUUAAGUCGAACGUGAAAUCCCCGGGCUCAACCCGGGAACUGCGUCCGAUACUGGCAGGCUUGAAUUCGGGAGAGGGAUGCGGAAUUCCAGGUGUAGCGGUGAAAUGCGUAGAUAUCUGGAGGAACACCGGUGGCGAAGGCGGGUCUCUGGGCCGAUACUGACGCUGAGGAGCGAAAGCGUGGGGAGCGAACAGG
rnacentral:rRNA from 1 species